rnacentral:pre_miRNA from 1 species
GGGGGGAGGCCGGAUCCUGGGCUGUUGUGUCCCGGCGCCCUGUGCUCCGGAGCCUGCGCUGGUGGAUUCACGCUCCCGCCCCCUCCCCCCU